UGCUGUUCACAUAUGGCAUAGCACAACCA
rnacentral:piRNA from 1 species